UACGAAGGGGGCUAGCGUUGCUCGGAAUUACUGGGCGUAAAGGGUGCGUAGGCGGGUUUUUAAGUCAGGGGUGAAAUCCUGGAGCUCAACUCCAGAACUGCCUUUGAUACUGAGGAUCUUGAGUUCGGGAGAGGUGAGUGGAACUGCGAGUGUAGAGGUGAAAUUCGUAGAUAUUCGCAAGAACACCAGUGGCGAAGGCGGCUCACUGGCCCGAUACUGACGGCUGAGGCACGAAAGCGUGGGGAGCAAACAGGAUUAGAAACC
rnacentral:rRNA from 1 species